rnacentral:rRNA from 1 species
UGGGGAAUAUUGGGCAAUGGGCGAAAGCCUGACCCAGCGACGCCGCGUGAGGGAAGAAGGUCUUCGGAUUGUAAACCUUUGUAGACAGGGAAGAAGAAAGUGACGGUACCUGUAAAGUAAGCCACGGCUAACUACGUGCCAGCAGCCGCGGUAAUACGUAGGUGGCAAGCGUUAUCCGGAUUUACUGGGUGUAAAGGGUAUGCAGGCGGUUCAUCAAGUAGGAUGUGAAAUCCCCGGGCUCAACCUGGGAACAGCAUACUAAACUGGUGGACUAGAGUAUUGCAGGGGGAGACGGAAUUCCAGGUGUAGCGGUGGAAUGCGUAGAUAUCUGGAAGAACACCAAAGGCGAAGGCAGUCUCCUGGGCAAAUACUGACGCUCAUAUGCGAAAGCGUGGGUAGCAAACAGGAUUAGAUACCCUGGUAGU